CAGCAGCCACGGGAAUACGAGGGGGGCAAGUGUUGUUCGGAAUUACUGGGCGUAAAGGGCGCGUAGGCGGCCAUUCAAGUUAGAUGUGAAAGCCCUGGGCUCAACCUAGGAAUUGCAUUUGAUACUGUUUGGCUUGAGUUCGGGAGAGGUGAGUGGAAUUCCCAGUGUAGAGGUGAAAUUCGUAGAUAUUGGGAAGAACACCAGUGGCGAAGGCGGCUCACUGGACCGACACUGACGCUGAGGCGCGAAAGCGUGGGGAGCAAACAGGAUUAGAUACCCCAGUAGUCCCUGUCUCUUAUAA
rnacentral:rRNA from 1 species